rnacentral:rRNA from 1 species
AAGGACCGGCUAACUCCGUGCCAGCAGCCGCGGUAAUACGGAGGGUCCGAGCGUUAAUCGGAAUUACUGGGCGUAAAGCGUGCGCAGGCGGUUUGUUAAGUGAGAUGUGAAAGCCCUGGGCUCAACCUAGGAAUCGCAUUUCAAACUGACCAACUAGAGUCUUGUAGAGGGGGGUGGAAUUCCAGGUGUAGCGGUGAAAUGCGUAGAGAUCUGGAGGAAUACCGGUGGCGAAGGCGGCCCCCUGGAUAAGACUGACACUGAUGCACGAAAGCGUGGGGAGCAAACAGGAUUAGAUACCCUGGUAGUCCACGCCGUA